rnacentral:lncRNA from 10 species
UACUAUAGGCUGUUUGCUGUGGUUUAGUCAAAAAGCCAUGUAGAAUGCCUGCCUUUUGAAGACCACUUUUAAGGUGUCUAGUAAGACAGCAGAUGGAGUCUUGCUCUGUCACCAGGCUGGAAUGCAGCGGCAUGAUCUCAGCUCUCUGCAACCUCCGACUUCUGGUCCAAGCGAUUGGCCUGCCUCAGCCUCCCAAGUAGCUGGGACUACAGGCACACGCCACCACGCCUGGCUAAUUUUUGUAUUUUUAGUAGAGAUGGGGUUUCACCAUGUUGGCCAUGAUGGUCUUGAUCUCCCGACCUCGUGAUCUGCCUGCCCGGCCUCCCAAAGUGCUGAGAUUACAGGCAUGAGCCACUGCGCCCAGCCUAUACAUUUUUUUAAAAUAAUGGUUUUGUAAUUAAUAAAGGGAGAGCCUGCAUUUCUAAUCUGUACUGUUCUUUGAGGAGGAGUAAAUAUCAUUACCGUCAA